ACUCCUACGGGAGGCAGCAGUGGGGAAUAUUGCACAAUGGGCGCAAGCCUGAUGCAGCCAUGCCGCGUGUGUGAAGAAGGCCUUCGGGUUGUAAAGCACUUUCAGUUGUGAGGAAGGUGGUGUCGUUAAUAGCGGCAUCAUUUGACGUUAGCAACAGAAGAAGCACCGGCUAACUCCGUGCCAGCAGCCGCGGUAAUACGGAGGGUGCGAGCGUUAAUCGGAAUCACUGGGCGUAAAGGGUGCGUAGGCGGCUUAGCAAGCCAGGGGUGAAAGGCAUUGGCUCAACCAAUGUAAAGCCUUUGGAACUGUUAAGCUUGAGUGCAGGAGAGGUAAGUGGAAUUCCUAGUGUAGAGGUGAAAUUCGUAGAUAUUAGGAGGAACACCAGUGGCGAAGGCGACUUACUGG
rnacentral:rRNA from 1 species